rnacentral:sRNA from 1 species
CUUGAGAGAAACAAAAGCCAUCAAAAAGGCUAUUACCUGUGGGGAAAAGGAAAAGCAAGAUCUCAUUAAGAGCCUUGCCAUGUUGAAGGACGGCUUCCGCACUGACAGGGGGUCUCACUCAGACCUGUGGUCCAGCAGCAGCUCUCUGGAGAGUUCGAGUUUCCCGCUACCGAAACAGUACCUGGAUGUGAGCUCCCAGACAGACAUCUCGGGAAGCUUCGGCAUCAAUAGCAACAAUCAGUUGGCAGAGAAGGUCAGAUUGCGCCUUCGAUAUGAAGAGGCUAAGAGAAGGUAAUUGGGCUGGGGCUAGGGGCGGGAUGGUUCCAAAAAUAAUAACUACAAUUGUAGAAUGCCUGCUCUGUGCUUAGCUUUUCACACACUUCGUCUUCUUUAAUCCUCACAAAGAUUAUGAAGAUAGUUAUUAUACUUUUUAUUUUUCAUCCUCUCUGAAAUUCAGAGAGGAAAUGACUCACCC